rnacentral:tRNA from 1 species
GGGGACGUAGCUCAAUGGCAGAGCGGCGGCUUCCAAACCCGCGCGAGGGGGUUCGAUUCCCCCCGUCCUUGCC